rnacentral:lncRNA from 1 species
AUGGAUACAACAAGAGGAAGGUGCUGUACUGGAGCAUCAAUCCAAUGGUCAAACUCUCACGAUACUGAUGUUCCACUUUUUCCUCACUGCAGAUCAUAUGGGCUCAGACAACUUUGUAUUUCAAGAGAGUUUUUACUAAAGAAAGGUGGAAGGAUGUAUGGAAAGUGCUCGUGCAAAUACAUGGUGGAGGCCAUUAAUACAGUAACAAUUUGGAUGCAUCUUCUGCAUCAAGAACCCUUGGACCCGCAGCUGUUGCAGCACUCUUUCUUGGGAGACCCAGUGAAGGGGUGGCCUUAAUCUGAUAUACAGACGUUAUUGCGGUAAAUGACUUGUUUAUUGUCAAAAGAAAAGUUCCCAGAGGAAGAUGAAUACUAUUGGCUCGGUAUUAACCGCAGUACUCUAGACCCACUGUUUUUCCACUGUACUGUGUUUGAAUGGUGUUUACAGGGCUGGACCAAGCCAUGAUGUCCCUCAUGUUUCAAAGGUGUAGGUGAAGGUGAAAGCAGCCCAGCUGUUGGGACGAGGUGGCACAACUUCCCUUCUCCUUCUGAGGAGGUGUCACCCUGUGAAGACUGCUCUGCCUUGUGAAGACUUCAGUUUAGUUUGAUUCAUCCAAAACAUUUCUAUUCUGUUUCUGUCUGAAGUGGUUUUGGAUGCAAAGCAAAAGGUGUUUUUCUGACUGAACAGGUUUUGUUGAUAUAUGCACUGGGGGCUGGAGAGAAUGCAGAGAUAAGCAUACAGCAGCUGAAUUGUGUAAAUGAGCAGUUGUGACCCUGAGUUGUUCCAGUAGUUCUGUGAUUUAAUACUCUCUGCUUCGAGUGCGAUUUACUGCACAGUCUGCAUCCGUAGAGUCUAUAGCGCAAAAUUUCGUUGUGCUAGAUGCAUCUAUUAAAUGGCUUCCAGCUUCCUUUAUGCAUUAUUCCAAGAGGAGAAAAUAUAUAGAAUAGGAGGCAAGAAAUGUUUUGUUGCAAGAUAUAAAGAGAGGAGGAUUAAAAAACCAGAAAGAAAGAAAUUGGCAAUUGCUAGUUGGCUGUUCAUGUUAAUCCUCUUUAACACCCACGUGACUUCAGCUGGAAAGCCUCUCACAUUUUUCAAUCUGUUGUGGAGCACCGAGCUUAGUGACAGCUAUAAGAACCUUUAAAAAUCUUUAAACAGUUUGUAUCCCCU